rnacentral:rRNA from 1 species
GACGAGCUCUCCAAACGUUAUUCGGUAUCACUGGGCUUAAAGAGUUCGUAGGCGGCUUCGUAGGUGAGGUGUGAAAGCCCUCGGCUCAACCGAGGAAUUGCGCUUCAAACCGCGGAGCUGGAGGAAGACAGGGGUAAGCGGAACAGAUGGUGGAGCGGUGAAAUGCGUUGAUAUCAUCUGGAACACCGGUGGCGAAAGCGGCUUACUGGGUCUUUUCGGACGCUGAGGAACGAAAGCUAGGGUAGCGAACGGG